rnacentral:lncRNA from 1 species
CAACUAAAUUCAUAAACAAAUAAUAUUAGCUCACGUAAAUAAACUUCAAAAUAAAAGACAAGCAAUAUAUCAAAAACUUGUAAGUAAAGGUUAGCCAACAUAUCAAAACAACAUAAAUAGGACAACGAAAGAAAGGCUAAGAAAACAUUAGACUCCUAAUUUGCAAGACUCCAAGCGUUGCGAUGAUCCUAAUUGUUGUUGGCCUAAAAUAUUAGGCCAAAAACGAGUUCCUAAGUAGAAACUCCAGCC